CCCUUCUCCCCUUUCCUUGUUUUUUUUUUUUGAGACAGAGUUUCACUAUGUCGCCCUCGGUAGAGUGCUGUGAUAUCACGGCUCACAGCAACUUCCAACUCUUGGGCUUAAGAGAUUCUCUUGCCUCAGCCUCCCAUCUCCCCUCUUCUUGAAUUUAACUGUGUUUUUCUCGCCUGCAGGCCUGUAGUUGUUCAUCUACUGGUUUCGUAUGAGUAUUGAGUAUGCUGGAUGCUUGCUUUUCUGUGCUUGUGAUACUUUACUUAGGAGGACGUUCUCCAAAUUCGUUCAGUGCCCGCACGGUGUGCUGUCAUAUGAAUAAGCUGCAAUCAAAUCGGCCAGCCACAUGGACUCUGCUUGUAUGCUGUCUUAAACAGCAGUGCUGACUGCACAUCUUUGUACUUGUCUGAUUCUUUAUUUUAGAGCACUUUCUAAUAAGUGAGUUAAUGUGUUCAAGGGUGUGUAGGACGCCUAUAAAUUGGCGCCCAAUAACCCUCCAUCUGUGCUUGUGUAACCCCUUCCCUUGAAUGUGGGCUGUGAUCUAGUGAAUGUGGGCUCUGAUCUCACGACCAGAAUGUGGCAUGUGAUGACAGAAUGCUGCUUUCAAGAUUAGUGUGCAAAAAACUGUGACUUUUGUCUUGCUAAUGCUCUCUCAUUUGCUUGGAGGAAAAUUGUGGUCCACGUUGUCAGCUGCCCUGGGAUGAGGCCCACGUGGCAGGAACUGAAGGAGACCUGGACAACAGAUGCAAGGAACCAAGGCUCUUGGUCCACUGUCCUGCAAGGAAAUGAAUCUUUCAGACAACCACACGUGUGAGCUUGGAAGAGAUUCCCCACAGCCGCACCUUCACAUGAGACCGCAGCCCUGCUGACACUUUGGCUACAGCCUUGUCAGAGGCCUUGAAGCAGAUGUCCUCUGCUAAGCUGUCCCUGGGUUUCUGACCUACAGAAGCUAUGGGAUAAAGUUUGUUGUUUGAAGCCUCUAAUUUUGGAGUGAUUUGUUGUACAUCCCUUUUGAUGUGUAUUUUUGUUGUGCCUUCCAGAAAGUUUACCCCGAUUCCUACCUGCCUCUCCAGCAGAGGGAAGUGCUGAAAGAUUCAUUUUCAGGAGGGGAGAUUGCUGAAAAUGCCAGGACCACUGACUGCCCCUCUUAUUUUGGACUGCCUCUGUCUAGGGAGUGCAGACAGUUCACCAACACCCGGACCUGUUUCCAAGGAAUUAUCUCAGGAUGCUGAGGCUCUGUCAGCCUGGUUAAGGAAAGCCUCUCUUUAGUCCCUGGACUGGCCUCCUCUCCUUCUUACGGACCUGCACCUAGACUCUACCCCUAAACCCUCAGACUGGAGGGAGAUGAAGACACCAGUUUCCCCAUAUCUACUGAGCUCCCCAAGUCACACAACCCUGAUAUAUUGUCCUGAAAAGAACUGGAAGAGUGUGCAGAAAGAGACCAAUGUCAAGAAGCAGCCCGCUGGAAACCAUCCCCAGAGCCCGGUCGCUGCUUGCCGACCCCAGUGGGCUCCUAGACGGCCCCGAGGUGCCUUGGCCCAGCCCUGUAACUUUCCCUCCGUCCCCGUUCUGGCUCUGUCCUGCUCCUGCCACUCUAACCUUGGUCAUCCAGGGGCUGUGAGGAGGUGGGGACGGUGGAGGGGAUGAGAAUGUGAGGAGGCAGAACUCAAUACCUGCUGUGGUCUGGAAACGAGGUCAGCUCCGGAGACCAGGGAGGCAUGGCGUGGCCAGGAAGCCAGGACGAGACACAGUUCGUGGCUGGCUUCCACCACCUCUUCCCUCUGUGACCUUUAGCAGAGUUUUAGGACUGCCCCGAGCUCCAGUUCCCAGUGGCCCUCCUGCGGGUGUGGGGGGCGGAGGAGAGGCUGGGACACAAAGGGGUCAGCUUCAGUAGCACUGGCCCAAGAGCUGGGACAAGGACUAUGGGACAGGGUCUUUGCAAAAAAACUUAGCUCAGGACAUGCAGGUGAUGGAUGCAAGCUUGACCUUGCGGUUGCCAGGAUACUUGGUGUCAUGGACAUCACCCUUGCAGUGCCAUCCUGGGAACUGGGUCUAUGAAACAAGGCUGCGUACUUUUUCAGGACAAAGAAGCUUCAGCUAUGCAAUCUCGGGGAUUUGCUUGGGGCUUCUCAAUGAAUGUUCUCCCAGAUUGACUUACUCCUUGCUCAGGUGAGUCUGACCUGAUCUUUGACUCCUGCCUGGAUACCAACUCCCUGAGAAACCUGCUACCCUCCACUCUGCCGCAGGCGCUGAGGGUCCCUUCCUGGCUUGGGUGUUUAUUUCUCGCUUUACAACCUGAUGAUUUAAUUCUUGUCUGGGAUAUCAUUCAGCCCAAGUUCGUGUUGAAGUGAAGUCUGUUUCGGCUCCCACCAAUUUCCGGAAGAGAAAAGGAAACUGACCUUCACCAGCAUCUUCAAGAACUGACCCCCGCCCCCCAGCCCGCUUCUGAGAGAAGGGCUCUCCUCAGGCUGUGAGAGAUGUUCUCAACUUGUCAACAUUUUACCCCCCACAAACAUUCCUGACUAUAAAUUAUUCAUUGCUCAGUUAGUGGUUGGAAAAAAAAAAAGAUGCCCGGGGCUGAGAUGUUUCCUUAAUUCCUCCCUCUGCUUUUCAGAUUCAAGUUAUUUUUUUCUUUCACUGCUGGGAAAGUAGGAAUAACUGGAAGUGUCUGGAUUCAGAGAUGUUGCCGCCUAAUGAGAGAGUGGUGUGGAUCCGGGGUGACUGUCGGCGGGUGGGGGUCACUGAUGGUGGCGCGGCGGGACGCUGGGGGCUGUCAGAGGUGUGUUAUGUGUCUGGGGCUUUCCUUCCUUCCCUUCGGCAGGGACUCCGGGGUUUUCAUGAAGAGCAGAGAGGAGACUUGAUGUCAUUCUAAUGCCACCAUUCCUGAGUCCACAGCCUGAGAGGAUCUCAGCCUCUCUCUGCUCACCCCCCAGCCCCCUACCCAGGUUGGGGACUGGCCAGGAGAUAGUGCCCACCCUGUCCUCACUUGUGCCCACUCCCUUCUUCUCCUGCACAUGCCUAGGCCUUGCUCACCCUUUGCAAUUCCUGAUGGCCACCCAGGCAGGCGACCCCUCUUCCUCAGAGUGGAUUCUUAGGUCCAUUUCAGGUCUGACCCCAUGAUACAUGGACACGGUGGGCCUAAUGGGGGUGGGGUUAUGCUUCUGGGCUUGGACCCCAUGUUAGUUUCUGAUGGCAGCUAUAACAAAGCACCACAAACAAAGGGUCUUAAAGUAACAGAAAUUCAUUCUCUCUCUCUGAGUCUGAGCUGGGGGCUGGGCAGUGCUUCUCUGACUCCAGGGUGCGGCGGAACCCUUCCGUGCUUCCCUCUAGCUCUCUGUGGUGAAGGAAAGUACUACCAAAUCCAAAGGGGGGGGGAACCAGAUAUGUAGCAGCACCCCUCGCCCCCUACCAUAAGAAUGUGACCUUUUGUAACUGUCCUAGGAAAUAGCCCCGAGCUGAAGCAGAUAACCGGUAACUGGUUCUGAAAGAAAAAAACUAAGCAAAUGUUUGACUGCUGAUCUUGUCUUAAGAUAGAUGAGUAAUGAACCAGAGUUCUUCUUAUCUGGAAAAGCCCCUAUAUCUGCUACCCCUCCCUAAAGCCCCUGCUGUGUCUGCUACCCCUCCCUAAAGCCCCUGCUAUGUCUGCUGCCCCUCCCUACUUUAUGGUUUUUGCCUUUAUAAGCUUGUAAAAACUGCUGUUCAGGGCUUGACUUCUCGGCUCCUAAAAGAGUUGUGAGUCAAGUCCCAGCAUGCUGGAAUAAAAUCCUCUUGCG